CCUACGGGAGGCAGCAGUGGGGAAUCUUCCGCAAUGGGCGCAAGCCUGACGGAGCAACGCCGCGUGAGUGAUGAAGGUUUUCGGAUUGUAAAACUCUGUCCAAAGGGAAGAAACAAAUGACGGUACCUUUGGAGGAAGCCCCGGCUAACUACGUGCCAGCAGCCGCGGUAAAACGUAGGGGGCGAGCGUUGUCCGGAAUUACUGGGCGUAAAGGGCGUGUAGGCGGCUUGCGCAAGUCAGUCGUGAAACCUAUCGGCUUAACCGGUAGCUGUCGAUUGAAACUGUCGGGCUUGAGUGCAGAAGAGGGGAGUGGAAUUCCCAGUGUAGCGGUGAAAUGCGUAGAUAUUGGGAGGAACACCAGUGGCGAAAGCGGCUCCCUGGCCUGUAACUGACGCUGAGGCGCGAAAGCGUGGGUAGCAAACAGGAUUAGAUACCCCAG
rnacentral:rRNA from 1 species